rnacentral:rRNA from 1 species
UAUCUCUGUAGAGUCUGCAUAUCAAUAAGCGGAGGAAAAGAAACUAACAAGGAUUCCCCUAGUAACGGCGAGUGAAGCGGGAAGAGCUCAAAUUUGAAAUCUUCAAGGUUUGACCUUGACGAAUUGUAGUUUAAAGAAGUGUUUUCGGUUAGAGGAGUAGUAAAAGUUCUUUGGAAUAGGACAUCAUAGGAGGGUGAGAAUCCCGUAUUUGACUAUUCUUUCUAGCUUUGUGAUACACUUUCAAAGAGUCGGAUUGUUUGGGAAUGCAGUCCAAAAUGGGUGGUAAAUUUCAUCUAAAGCUAAAUAUUGGCGAGAGACCGAUAGCGAACAAGUACCGUGAGGGAAAGAUGAAAAGAACUUUGAAAAGAGAGUUAAACUGUACGUGAAAUUGUCAAAAGGGAAGCGUUUGACACCAGUGUUGUUUUUCUCGAAAAUCAAUUACAAAAUGCUUGAUUUUGUGUUGUAUUGACCUUAUCAGCUUUCUUCACUUUUUUCGAGUCUUUCUUAAUGCACUUUUCGGUUAACAAGUCAACAUCAAUUUCUUCUGUUGUAAAAGAGUAUUCGGAAGGUGGCUUUCUUUUCGGAGAAAGUGUUUAUAGCCCUAUACUUCUACAAUCGGAGAGAUUGAGGUCUGCAGCGUAGAUCCUUCGGGGUUAGAUACAUUUGUGCUAAGUUGUAGCUUUUCAUAGACAACUUGUUGACUAUGUUUAGUCAUGCGGCUUACUCGCUUAUGCUAUUUUACCUACGCUUAGGAUGUUGAAGACUCUACAGAGAUA